rnacentral:rRNA from 1 species
AGUGAACGCUGGCGGUAGGCCUAACACAUGCAAGUCGAACGGCAGCACAGUAAGAGCUUGCUCUUACGGGUGGCGAGUGGCGGACGGGUGAGGAAUACAUCGGACUCUACUUUUUCGUGGGGGAUAACGUAGGGAAACUUACGCUAAUACCUCAUACGACCUACGGGUGAAAGCAGGGGAUCUUCGUACCUUUCGCGAUUGAAUGAGCCGAUGUCGGAUUAGCUAGUUGGCGGGGUAACGGCCCACCAAGGCGACGAUCCGUAGCUGGUCUGAGAGGAUGAUCAGCCACACUGGAACUGAGACACGGUCCAGACUCCUACGGGAGGCAGCAGUGGGGAAUAUUGGACAAUGGGCGCAAGCCUGAUCCAGCCAUACCGCGUGGGUGAAGAAGGCCUUCGGGUUGUAAAGCCCUUUUGUUGGGAAAGAAAAGCAGCAGGUUAAUACCCCGCUGUUCUGACGGUACCCAAAGAAUAAGCACCGGCUAACUUCGUG